rnacentral:rRNA from 1 species
CAGCAGCCGCGGUAAUACGUAGGGUGCAAGCGUUAAUCGGAAUUACUGGGCGUAAAGCGUGCGCAGGCGGUUUUGUAAGUCUGAUGUGAAAUCCCCGGGCUCAACCUGGGAAUUGCAUUGGAGACUGCAAGGCUAGAAUCUGGCAGAGGGGGGUAGAAUUCCACGUGUAGCAGUGAAAUGCGUAGAGAUGUGGAGGAACACCGAUGGCGAAGGCAGCCCCCUGGGUCAAGAUUGACACUCAUGCACGAAAGCGUGGGGAGCAAACAGGAUUAGAUACCCUGGUAGUCCACGCCCUAAACGAUGUCUACUAGUUGUCGGGUUUUAAUUAACUUGGUAACGCAGCUAACGCGUGAAGUAGACCGCCUGGGGAGUACGGUCGCAAGAUUAAAACUCAAAGGAAUUGACGG